GGCGCGCGACUCCUCCCGGGAGCGCGCACGUGGGAGGGAGAGGGCUCUGCUCCGACGCACGCGCACAGGCCGCCCCCGCCUCCUGCAUGCAUCUGCAGCUGCACAGUUUGUGUGGGAAUUGGCAUGAGUAGAGGGGGGCUAGGCUCAUAGUGGGAUUGUUUGCGAUAAGGAAGGAGGUAGCUAAGAGAAUUCGGGAUUUUUGCUUCCUCUCAAUCCCUCAGUUGUACCCUCCCUCCUAGUCAGCUAAAUGUGCACUGAGAUUUUAGCCUGAAUAAGUCCUUUUACAACUGACCGCAGGUGCCAGACCUAUGCCAUUGGAGGAGGGCAGGUGAAAAUAACCUAAAAUCGCCAGGCAAAGGAACGAAUGGCCCUCUAUUCCAGAGUACUUAGCCAGACAUCGUGGAGUCGACUGGGGGAAAAAAAUGAAAAUCUCUUGAGUCGGCAACUCCCAUAUCACAGAUAGGAAGGCUAGUGUCCUCAGAGAAUUGGAGACGCCCUCAAGGUCACAUGGCAUGACUAGAAUCCUUGAGUCAGGAAGGGUUAUUUGGGAUAUAAGAAACAAGCAAGGGCUGUGUGUGAGGAGGGGUAUGUUGCGAGGUGUUAGGGUGCAUACCUAGCAGCCAGGGAGGCCCUGGGUUCAUCACUAGCAUGGCAGAGGAAAGAAGGAAUAGGUGGAGAUUUAAGAAGCAUAGAGAGACAGCAAGGGCCACGGAGGAAACCUCUGAAGGAAGUCGUUGUCUGGAAAGGAGGACUUCUAGGUCAACCCGCUUUGACUGUCCUGAACUAGUUGGAUGAACUCAACCUCAUCUGACAGUGACAAUGCUCAUUCUCAGCAGGGUCCCAUCAGGUACCUUCUUGCUCUGUCCAGACCACCCGAGGAGUACCAGGCUCCUUCUGGGUUGCUUGGAAUAGUGGAAAACCCUCUUCCUCAUUCUUCAGCACUAGCUUUGAGCCACAGAUCCAUACACAGCCACAGUAUGGACUGGAUCUCCCCCUCCCCCACUUAAUUCAGAACUUGAAGUCCCAGAUAGCUGUUCUCAGUUUGCACUCAGUUCCGGCAAAAAAGGAAGGUCAAUGAAACGAGACUAGACCAACAUGUCUCACCAGAUAACCUACCGACUCCGUGACCAGAAGGUGGACUUGGACCCAACUGUUUUACAUCGAGUUAACCCUCAUUCUAACAGCGGAGUCAGAGUUGAGAGCUGUGUAUAAACUAGAAAGCCUUCUCUACUAUUUCUGGUUUCCUUGAAGCCAUUUGCCACCUGUGUCCUCAUUCAGAUCCAGGAAGGCCUGGGGCAAGGAAACAGUGGAUGGGAACCCAGAGUCCUGGCCUCCACUGAGGCACAACUACUACAGGUAGGGAGAUGGCCCCAUUCAUCACACUCCUCCAGCUCUUGUUUCCUUCCUUACAAAAUGGGACUUUAAAGUAUCUUUACAGAUGUGUUGUACAAAUUAGAAUUUCUCCUACUCCAGACCUGGCACAUGGUCAAUACUCAGUAAACAUUCAUUGAUUCGUUCAUUGAUAAAAUAUUUGUUGCCACCUGACUUUAUGGGAAGCUUAUACCUAACACUAGGAUGUGGAGGUGAGCAAGGCAGAAUCACCCAGAGUUCCAGACUAACUAUUGCAUGGAAAGGUUAGGGUAACAGCACCUGCCCAGAUGUCCAAGGUUUUCCAAAUUCUAGUCCUGGGCACAGCUGCUCUGACUCAGGGUUAGCCUGCUUCACAUCCUGGGAAGUGAAUAGUGAAGAUAUAAAGUUUCUGGAUGCUGGAAGAUUUGGGCUCUCACCUGGACCAUGGAUCUGCUGUGCAUUCAAUGGAUAUUGUAGCUCAUCUAGAGCAUAAGAUAAAUGAUACUGGGCAUGGUCUCAAACAUCAGUUAAUGUAAUCCCAGCCCUGGGGAGGAUGAAGCAGAAAGAUCAAGAGUUUGAAGCAGCUCAACUUAUCUACAGAGACCAGAUAGGUAGGUAGGUAGAUAGACAGACAGAAGAUGUGACAAAAAAGAAAGGAAAGUGAGACUGGAGAGACGGCUCAGUAGUUAAGAGCACUUAUUGCUCUUGCAGAGGGCUAAGGUUCAGUUUCCAGCGUAGCCACUCACAACCGACUGUAACUGUAGGCCCAGAGAAUCCAAUGCCAUUUUCUGGUCUCCGCAAGCCCCAGGUCUGCAUCUAGGGCACACACAUACAUGCAGGUAAAACACUUGUACACAUAAGCUGGCAAAUCUUUUUAAAUUUUUUAGUUUGCAGUGAGCUUCCUUAUGGUUUCUUCAAGCUGAUGUUUAGACAACCCUAUGACAUUAUUUUCUUCAUUUCUACAGUAAGAACCCUCAGACUCACAAGCUAUAAGUGACUUGCCCUUGUUAGGCUUCCAAGUUCACCCUGCACAUGAUCAGCACUAACCCUCGGACUGGGAUCCCAGGGUGAAUGAAAAGGGGCAAAGGAGGAAACAGGCUGAGCGCCAUCUUUAAUCUCUCCACGUACUGACUGCAGGUACAAUGUGACUGACCACCUCAUGCUCCCACUGACAUGACCUCCAGGACAAUCUGCAUCCCCUUAAAUCCUAAGCCAGAAUAAACCCUUCUUUGCUUAAGUUGCUGCUGUCAGAUGUUACAUCAUGAAACCAAAAUGGUGACUAAUGUCUCCAGGAAUAAAGCAGACUUGGAAGCAUAAAAUACAGGAUGGAGCAAGGGAUUUCUGCGAUCUGUGGAAAGUUGACUUAAAUGCCCCUUUUCCAACAAGUAUGGGAACUUGAAGGGAUUUGCUUCUGUAAUAGUAGUCAGCACACUGCUACCAGGAAGAUCUUAGGUUAUUGAAGGAAAUCUGUAGAGCAGUAUGCUCUGUGCCCUCAGAGGCAGAAUUAACAAAACUUUUUAGGUCUCAGGAAGGUGUUCCAGGCAGACCGAUCCAUGGAGGGAGGGAGCAUUUCCAUCCUGACGCUGUGCAACAGGUACUGACUCCUUUCCAUCAAAGAGACCGCACACGGAAUUCCUACUCUGGAAAGUUAUCGACAGCGAGCAUUUGUUGUACCUCCCUGCUUCAGACAUUGAAAUGAGUGUGCUUUUUACAUUGGUUUUUCUUUUGCUCUCACAACAUCCCCUCAUAGUACAUAGGACCCCAUUUUCAUAGACUGAGGCUCAAACAAGCAUAAAAUGAACUACCCAGAGUCACUGAGCUGGUAAAAGAGAACCAGCCCUCUGACUCUGAAGCAGUAGUAGGCACCUGGAGAGGUGAUCCCUGCUUGGGCCUCAGCAAGCCCAGCUGAAGGCACUACUGAAGAUGAUUGGGUUUGAGGAGCCCACUCUCAUUCCCCACAUUACUACCCUGGUCUCAUUCACCUUCCCUUUUCCCCACUGCCCUUUGUUCUCCUCCAGAUGGAUUCCCUCACCACAGCCCUCCAGGUAGCCUGGGGGCAGGUUACCUGUCUUCUCCAGUGAGCUCUCAAGACAGCAGAGACUUAAGCCCAGAGGCAAGUCCUUAAGGUGCAGGCAAUGGAAGAAGAAAUUUCCUGGUCAUUUGGGGCUCCUGCCCAUGAGUAUCACAGCUUAGGGCAUAAGGACAGGAGAUAUGGUUGGAGCUGGCAGACAGGUGAACUAAAGUUCUAACCAUAUCUUUGUUAGGUACUUGCUUCCAGACAUGUCACUUCAGCCUUGGUUUCCAUUUCUGCAGAAGGAUAAUAACAGAAUUCUUUUUCCUGUCUCCUUCUUAGGGGGACUGCUGUGCAGGCUAAAUGAACUGUCAGGUGUGUGGAAUAUGUAAAGAGCUGAGUAGGCAUGUCAGCGAAGGACUGCCAGUCUCGAUGCAACACAGAAGGCUGAGUGACUGUCUGUGUGGGGUGCCGAAUGGAGCUUCUACCAAUUGCUGCACUGUGAUUACAGCUCUGAAAACCAGGUAUCAAGGAACGGAACAGUCAGGAAACAUGCCUUUUGCAGUGGUAACCAGAAAGAAUGGCUAUCACCAUACCCUUCCCCUAAGUUCAUCCCCACGAACUCCUCCAGGUUGCCCUGGGUGCUGUCAUGUGGGUCUAAAGGCAGAAAAGUGGUGUCUCCAGGAGGGCAGGUGUAAAGGAAACAGCUUGAAGAAGGUUGGGAUCAUCAAGAAGAAAGCCACCAAGCUGGCAUGAAAUGAAGUCAUCAGGCGAUGUGGACUCUGCACAGCUUUCCGAGGAGCCACGGCACCGUGUCGCACAGUGGCUGCUCCAGCUUCCACUUCCCACCAAUGGCAGGCAACUUGAGGAAAGAGGGAGGAAGCCCAGAUCCUCAGGAAUCCUCCUCAGCUCUUCUACAAGUUCCCCUGCUGCCUGCCAUCUUCAGAAUCCCACCAUAAUCUCUUCCCCAAGACCACAGCACAAGACAUCACUAAAGAACUCCAUCCAGUGGGAGCCAGCCUGAGGGCAAAGUGGGUAAAGCUCUUCAGAUACAAGCUCGACGGCCUGAGCUCAUCUCUGGGACUCUGGUGGUUUAAAUGUGAGUGACUUCCAGAGGCUCAUAUAUUUAUUCCUUUUCAUUAAAAGUUAUUCUGUACGUAUAUUUUUACAUGGGAUCUUUGUCUGCAAAUAUGUUGGCACACCCAGAGAGAGCACUGGAUCCCACUAUAUAUAGUUGUAAUCUGCCACGUGGCUGCUGGAAUCAAACCUGUGUCCUCUGCAAGAACGAGUGCUCUUAACUGCUGAGCUAUCUCUCCAGCCCCAGUUGGUGGAACUGUUUGGGAAGGAUUAGGAGGUAUUGGGAUGGACUUUAAAAACCCAGGUCAUUUCCAGUAAGGAUGCUUGUCCCCAGGACUGACAACCUCAGUCAACCUGAGAAGGUGGAAGGAGAGAACUGAAUCCAAGUUGUUCUCUGACCACUUCACAUGUGACCUACACACAUACAAGAAACAAUUAAUAUAAAAAGAAUUUUAAUGACAACAACUUUUGCACAUAUUAAUUGGUUUUAUUUUUUAAUUUGAGAAUCAGAACAAAACAAUAAGUGAAAUACAAAAGGUUAGCAUUCUAGUCUGGUUUUUCUAUAGUGCUGAACCAAGCGCCAAGCAAGCACGCUACCCUGAGCUACAGCCCCAGCUAAGGCUAGUUUUAUAGAGAGGAAAAGGCUUGAAGAAAGCAGAAAGAAAACAUACAAAGUUACUUUCCUUCUGAAGUGGUUACAGGAAACAAAUAGAAAAAUAGCUGGUUAGUUAACAUCCGGGUUAUUUUAAGUUACUUCUUUUGUUUAGGGUUAAAUAGAGAAAACAUCAGUUUCUAUUGGCAUGCUUGGUAAGUCUGGCUACUUGCUAUCUUCCA